AUUGAACGCUGGCGGCAUGCUUUACACAUGCAAGUCGGACGGCAGCGGGGGUGCUUGCACCUGCCGGCGAGUGGCGAACGGGUGAGUAAUAUAUUGGAACGUACCGAGUAGUGGGGGAUAACUAAGCGAAAGUUUAGCUAAUACCGCAUACGACCUGAGGGUGAAAGCAGGGGACGGGAGACUGCCUCGCGCUAUUUGAGCGGCCAAUAACUGAUUAGCUAGUUGGUGGGGUAAAGGCCUACCAAGGCGAUGAUCAGUAGCGGGUCUGAGAGGAUGAUCCGCCACACUGGGACUGAGAGACGGCCCAGACUCCUACGGGAGGCAGCAGUGGGGAAUUUUGGACAAUGGGCGCAAGCCUGAUCCAGCCAUGCCGCGUGUCUGAAGAAGGCCUUCGGGUUGUAAAGGACUUUUGUCAGGGAAGAAAAGGCUGUUGCUAAUACCGACAGCUGAUGACGGUACCUGAAGAAUAAGCACCGGCUAACUACGUGCCAGCAGCCGCGGUAAUACGUAGGGUGCGAGCGUUAAUCGGAAUUACUGGGCGUAAAGCGAGCGCAGACGGUUACUUAAGCAGGAUGUGAAAUCCCCGGGCUCAACCUGGGAACUGCGUUCUGAACUGGGUGACUAGAGUGUGUCAGAGGGAGGUAGAAUUCCACGUGUAGCAGUGAAAUGCGUAGAGAUGUGGAGGAAUACCGAUGGCGAAGGCAGCCUCCUGGGAUAACACUGACGUUCAUGCUCGAAAGCGUGGGUAGCAAACAGG
rnacentral:rRNA from 1 species